UCUGGCUCAGGAUGAACGCUGGCGGCGUGCUUAACACAUGCAAGUCGAACGGAGUUUUAACGGAAGUUUCGGAUGGAAGUUAGAACUAGUGGCGGACGGGUGAGUAACGCGUGGGUAACCUGCCUCAUACAGGGGGAUAACAGUUAGAAAUGACUGCUAACACCGCAUAAUAUAGCGAAACCGCAUGAUUUUGCUAUCAAAUAUUUAUAGGUAUGAGAUGGGCCCGCGUCUGAUUAGCUAGUUGGUGGGGUAAAAGCCUACCAAGGCGACGAUCAGUAGCCGGCUUGAGAGAGUGACCGGCCACAUUGGGACUGAGACACGGCCCAAACUCCUACGGGAGGCAGCAGUGGGGAAUAUUGGACAAUGGGGGAAACCCUGAUCCAGCGAACCGCCGCGUGAGUGAAGAAGUAUUUCGGUAUGUAAAGCUCUAUCAGCAGGGAAGAUAAUGACAGUACCUGACUAAGAAGCCCCGGCUAACUACGUGCCAGCAGCGGC
rnacentral:rRNA from 1 species